UUCGCAAUGCCCGAAAGGGUGACGAAGCGACGCCGCGUGGGUGAGGAAGGCCCUCGGGUUGUAAAGCCCUGUCAGGAGUUAAGAAAUGUAGGUACGCUAAUAUCGUGCUUAUUUGACAAAGGCUCCAAAGGAAGCCACGGCUGACUCUGUGCCAGCAGCCGCGGUAAUACAGAGGUGGCAAGCGUUGUUCGGAAUUAUUGGGCGUAAAGAGCACGUAGGUGGAUUUGUAAGUCAGAUGUGAAAGCCUUCUGUUCAACGGGAGAAUUGCAUCUGAAACUACAAACCUUGAGUGUAGGAGGGGAGAAUGGAACUUCUGGUGGAGCGGUGAAAUGCGUAGAUAUCAGAAGGAACGCCGGCGGCGAAAGCGAUUCUCUGGCCUAUUACUGACACUCAGUGUGCGAAAGCUAGGGGAGCAAACGGGAUUAGAUACCCCGGUAGUCCUAGCCGUAAACGAUGGGCACUAAGUAGAGGGGUUUU
rnacentral:rRNA from 1 species